UAUUUUACUUAUGUCCAGGUAAUACUUUUCAAAUAGUGGAACAUUACCAAUAUCUACAACUAACUAGGAUAAACGAAUGUAUCGGAUAAGACAUACUAUACAAGCUAAUUCAUUGCUUUUAAAAUGUAAUCAUAAACCAUGGCAAACCACAAGCCCUUUGAAUAAACUCAAGCAAAAGUCUCAAGCAUUCGGGUAACUAAGAACAUACCACGACCUUAGCAAUAGAUGGUUUUAUUGAGUCAUUUUCCUGUUUUCCAUACAACUGAAUUACUACGUUCUGAAAAAUUUUCUCUAUUUCUAUUUCUAAAUUAGAGUGUUGCCCGUUGCCUCAGUGCUUGAUCUUGAAAAUGUACUGAAAACAAUGCUUCUGUGCCUUCUUGAGGCAGGAAAUUUCAGUAGCAGAGAAGGAAGCAACUGAAAAACACAGCCUUGUUGAAGAAUCCUUUGAGUCAUGACUACUGAGCCAGCUUACUGAAGUUAAAGAAAUCUUGAUGAAACAUGUUUUCUCUCUGGAAUCUACAUAUUUCUUCACAAAAGAUUCUAUAUUCGUGUGGAAUCUACCACUUUACAUUUGAAGACCGCCUCCCCUUCAGCCUGUGUUUCUUUGAUUUAAGGGGAAGACCAAGACUCCACAAUCUCAAGACAGAUGACAGUGGUAUAUAAUAGUGUUCAGGUUUAGGUACACAGGAGGAAUCUACACAGGUAUAGGUACACAGCAGACAGGACAACAGCCACGCUCAGAAUCCACAGGUAUCGGAAUCAGUGAGCGCCACAGGAGCAGCAGCAGCACUAACAGGAGUACUGGCC